AUUGAACGCUGGCGGCAGGCCUAACACAUGCAAGUCGAACGAGUGGCGGACGGGUGCGUAAUGUCUGGGAAACUGCCUGAUGGAGGGGGAUAACUACUGGAAAAGGUAGCUAAUACCGCAUACCAUCUGAUGUGCCCAGAUGGGAUUAGCUAGUAGGUGGGGUAACGGCUCACCUAGGCGACGAUCCCUAGCUAGUCUGAGAGGAUGACCAGCAGCACUGGAACGGAGACACGGCCCAGACUCCUACGGGAGGCAGCAGUGGUGAAUAUUGCACAAUGGGCGCAAGCCUGAUGCAGCCAUGCCGCGUGUAUGAAGAAGUCCUUCGGGUUGUGGAGUACUUUCAGCGGGUAGGCGUUACCCGCAGAAGAAGCACCGGCUGACUCCGUGCCAGCAGGCGGGGUAAUUC
rnacentral:rRNA from 1 species